UCAAAGGCCCUUUUCAGGGCCCCCCCUCUACUGUCUAACAAAAGAUCU
rfam:Sarcophilus harrisii ctg7180002449041, whole genome shotgun sequence.